rnacentral:pre_miRNA from 1 species
UCAACAUUCCCUCCGUCUUAAAUUUUUUAUCUUAAAUUUGUUUAAAUAUGAAUGCAUCUAAUUAUAUUUUAGUAUUUAGAUAUAUUCAUUUUUAAACAAACCUAAGACAAUAAUUUUAAGAUGGAGAAAGUAUACG